rnacentral:lncRNA from 1 species
AGAGUUAGUUAAAGGCAAAGCAGAGAAAUACAAUAAGAGGCUGAGAGAAGUCAAAAUAAACAAGUCGCUUUCCUAUUCCAGCCUAAGCGAAGUAAGCUUGUGGGCCAAUGUCACCCAGCAAUUAAGACGUUUUUUGGAACCCAGGACGUCUCUGAUGGCUGCUCCUUGACUGUCAUCAUGCCACAAAAUGAAUAUAUUGAAUUGCACUGCAAACAAUAUGGCUAUCAUUUGGACUACUAUGAGAAAAGGAGAAAGAAAGAAGGUCAGGAGGCCCAUGAACAUUCAAAGAAGGCCAACAAACAAACGAAUAAACAAACAAACAAUCAAAAGAUUGGCCUGAAGGCUAAGCUCUACCAUAAACAGCAUCAUGCUGAGAAAAUACAAAAGAUGCAUGAAAAAAGAAAGACCAAGCAGAAGGAUGAUGAGAAGACUCCACAGGGAGCAGUCCCAGCCUGUCUGUUGGGACAGUUGGGAGCAAAAGUACUUUCCAACAUGAUUAAGCAGAAACAAAAAGAAAA